rnacentral:rRNA from 1 species
GUAUAUGAGGUGAUUAAUUGGAGGGCAAAUCAAGUGCCAGCAGCCGCGGUAAUACUUGUUCCAAGAGUGUGUAUGAUGAUUGAUGCAGUUAAAAAGUCCGUAGUUUAUUUUUUAAGAAGCAAUAUGAGGUGUACUGUAUAGUUGGGAGAAAGAUGAAAUGUGACGACCCUGACUGGACGAACAGAAGCGAAAGCUGUACACUUGUAUGUAUUUUUUGAACAAGGACGUAAGCUGGAGGAGCGAAGAUGAUUAGAUACCAUUGUAGUUCCAGCAGUAAACUAUGCCGACGAUGUGAUAUGGAAAUGUUAAUUUGUAUUACAUAAUAGAAAUUUGAGUUUUUUGGCUCUGGGGAUAGUAUGAUCGCAAGAUUGAAAAUUAAAGAAAUUGACGGAAGAAUACCACAAGGAGUGGAUUGUGCGGCUUAAUUUGACUCAACGCGAGGUAACUUACCAAUAUUUUAUUAUUUUGAGAGAACGGUUUUUGUUUGAGAAUGAUAAUAGUGGUGCAUGGCCGUCUUCAAUGGAUGCUGUGAAGUUUUGAUUAAUUUCAACAAGACGUGAGACACUUAUUUUUUAUUAAAGACAGACACAAUCAGUGUAGGAAGGAAAGGAUUAAAACAGGUCCGUUAUGCCCUCUGACAUUUUGGGCUGCACGCGCAAUACAAUAGAUAUA